rnacentral:lncRNA from 1 species
ACCCUCAGUUUCCUCUCAUCACACCCAUGAUCCUCACUCCUGUUACUGCCAUUACCUCCUUCUCCUUCUCUUUUAGCCAAGACCCUGAAAAUAUGAUUACUACUUACUGCCUCCAUUUCUUCAAUUUCGUUUCAUAUUCUGCAUCAUUGGUUUUCUAUUCUUCUCCUAGUUCACUGGUAGUAGUCAUUAGUUAUCUCACAA